CAAGAAUGGGCUGCCAUCAGUCAGGAUGUGGCCCAGAAGUUAAUUGACAGCAUGCCAGGGCGGAUUGCAGAGGCCUUGAAAAAGAAGGGUCAACACUGCAAAUAUUGACUCUUUGCAUCAACUUAAUGUAAUUCUCAAUAAAAGACUUUGAAACUUAUGACAUGCUUGAAAAUUGCCUGUUAUAUUAAAUUAAGUAUAAUAAAUCAGAUUGUUUAUAUGAAUAAACACUGUUACUUUAUUUGGCCCUUUACUGUUACUUUAAUUGGCAUUUGUCUUAAUUUGACUUCUUGAGAUGGAAAAACUUGUUUUUUUAUCUAGUGUGUUAUGAACGUGUUCUCUUUAUGACAGAAUAUAAACUUUUUUGCAUGGAACGACCCAGCUAUAUAACAUUUGCUGGUAAGUUGGUGAGGUUUUUGUUUAUGUUGUUGUAUAUAUUACUGUCUGAGAUUUAGCCUGGACGAUCCACAUUCUAUAAUUCACAUAGGCUGUGUUUACACAUGCAGCCUAAUUCUGAUCUUCUGCCCAAUUAUUGGCAAAGAGCCGAUCUGAUUGUUCAAAAGCCCAAUUAGUGGAGAAAGAUAAGAAUUGGGCUGCUUGUGUAAACACAGCUGAAGUAAUGACUUUGAUUUGGAGCCCAUCCAAGACAGGAUGUUAAAAUCAUGUCUUCUCACAUAACUCGACAGGCCCAGAUCCAGUGCACAGCAGGUGUCAGAGACGGUACAUAUGUCAGCAGCCCGUAAAUCAAACGUGUCUCCUCUAUAACCAUCAUUAUAACCAUUUUCCCCCUAUGGAACCUCAGCAGGACCCUCACCAGUGCCCACUGUCCUUGUACACUAAACAUUCCUACGCUGGUCUAACAUCAGAUUGUAUUAUUAGCCUAUAUUUUAGCGUUGUUAUAGUCAACUAGCAAAUGUUUCUUCACUUUUUGGUGUUUUGUGGGGCUCCAAACCCUGCUGCUGGGCAUUAGAAUAUAAAUUAAACUCUUCUACACAUUUCCCUCUCUAGGACUCCCACGGCACAAACAGACUAUAUGGACAAGAAGCUCUAAAAUCCUCCAGUCUAAAUCUUCCUUAGUGUGUCGCCCCUCCCAGACAGGUGAUGAGGGAGGUCAGUGUGGUGCCCUCCUACCCGGUGACCCCUGGCCAACCAGGUGGGGGAGGAACAGCUACACAGGAACUGAGGAAGACCAUCAGUCUAUCUGAGGAGUGCAGUAAUUAUGUAUCAAUGUCCAUCCCUCAGCAAAACCAAGAUCAUUCAUUUUUAGACAUUAAAGAUGAUUGUUCAUUAAACAGUGGACUUUCGGUGAAUCACCCUAAGAAUUCAAUAUUAGGACUUAAAACCACAAAUAUGUACAGUAAAUAUUUGCCUGAGCACAAUUAGCUUCCAUGUGGUACAAUGCUUUGUUUGAUCGCAGGAAAUGUGUUCAUUACAUAUUCUGUGGACACAGCCAGUGAGUUUUUUACCUUUGUGAAGUUUCUGACAGAUCAGCGCUUUAAACCAGCUGUAAGUUUUCUGUUUUAUUUUAUUCACCCACUCUUUGAAAUGUCUAUUCAAACAUACUUCCUCUCUCUGGCAGACUAACAUCUUUGAUAGCACGGUUAGAAGAAUGGACAUCAACAAGUGGUUGGACAGCUUUGUAAAGAAUAAGUCAGUGCUGAUCAUCGUGGUCAUCAGUCCCAAGUACAAGGCAGACGUGGAAAGAGAUGGAGAGGAUGAGCAUGGUCUCCACACAAAGUUCAGAUCCAGAAUGAGUUCAUCCGACAGCGCUGCCUUCAUUUAAAACUGGUACCGGUAUUGUUUCCCACCUCUACGAAGAGAUAUGUUCCUGCCUGGCUUCAGAGCACCAGGAUACACCACUGGCCCCCCUCUGGAACGCUACAUUGGCCCCCCUCUGGGGAAAGAGCUGACCCUCUCCGUACGACACCUGUGACAUCUCUGAGAACUGCUGAAGACACAUUAUGUUGUGGUGCUUCAUAGAUUUCAAUGUUUAUAUGGAAAUUUAGUAAAUGCUUUUUUUUUUUUUUUUACUAAACUGAACCGGUGUGGGAGUAGUGGUGUAUCUCAGCACUACUCUCAAAUAGCCACAAGGUGGCAGUAUUUACUUUCUGAUGUUUCAAGUCCUAGACUUGCUAAGGUGGUAAUGGGUUACUCCUGACAUUGUGUGGUCCUAAUAAUAUGUGAUCUGAAGAUGUAUUCUAUUAAUAAAUGAAAGUAAUAAGAGCUUGUUGACUGUGAGGUUGUUGAUUUGCCAUGAUAAACAUGUUUACAUUGUUGCCUAUACUACAUAGUUACUACGGUAAUACCCAGUACAACGUCAAGGUCUCACAUUUUUGUGGGUAAUACCAGAUAAGUAGAACAUGGUGUACAGGUGGAUUUAGUGGCCUAAAGGUUAGCAUGUAUGAUAUUUGUUGACGAUAUUUGUGCGUCUGUAACUAUCCGUAAUAAUGGUAGCAUCCACAUUAAUGUGGAAAUGUUUAGAAACAUGUUCUAUUCUCAUUUACAAUAAAAGUGACUCCAAAAUUACACAAUACAUUAUUUGCCAUUAAUUUAUAUUGGGAAAAACAUAAUCUGCACAAAAAGUGGUGUAAUUUCUUAACGGUUCACCCGAUAUGGAUGACAA